rnacentral:misc_RNA from 1 species
AGUUUCCUUCAUUUUUGUGUUCGCGCUAGCGACAUUCUUCGCAGCGCGCUGCAGUGCUUGUGCCUUCGUCCAAGCUAGAAAGGCGCGGACUUCGUGACCGUAGGGGGCCAAAACCACGUUGUGCACGCAGCAGAGGACACCGCCGAAAAAAGCGCGCUUCGCUACGAAAUAUGGGGCGGCAUAUGGUCAAGCAAGAUGUCCCAGAUUAGGCUGGCUGCGAUACCCAGUGCGCUAGUUACUUUAUCCGGGGCGCCGGGGCCCUCCGGGCGUAUCUGAUGUGUGGUGCGAUAGCGGCAUGCGAUACGUAUUUGUGCGUAGUCGGUGCUCUUCGUUUUCGCUGAUAUGUCGGGAACGGUUUCAACCGAUGACCUAGUGCUUGCGAUAUGCACUUUCUGCUUAAAGUUUACGCUAUCUUAUUAGUUUAUCUUCCUGUUGAAGUGCGGAUAUGAAGAAAAAAAAAAAAUGUUGUGGAUUCACGAAGGGAGUUGUGCACCGAAAGUCGUGAGUACUGUCGGCACCGAAGACUUGCGGUGGAUCGGAUUUCACGAGAGAACAUAAUUUGCGCAUUCAGGCUGCUCAGGAAUAGAGUACUGCCUUGGUCGCGUUAACUAGAUCAGCCAGGAACGUUGGUUCUAAAGUUUCACGCCCAUAUUCCAUGCUGGUGCCACACGAGCUCGUUCGAUCGCGAUAGCGCUCAAUCAGGAUCGAAUUUCUCAGUAUAAGUUGGCUCCAUUUGCGCAGGCUGCUUCGCGGCCGGUAUAUUCGAUCCUUAUUGGGCUUGUUCCCUUAAAAAAAGUGGUUUUCUGACACCCAUAAUAACGUGUUUUCAUAGAUAUCGAGCCCCGCAAUCUUUCAGUGCCGACAAUGGUGACCUAUAACAACAGGUGAUGAAUUUACGAGUAACGUGUGAAAGUUUGUGUGUGACGACGUUUAUGGCUGCUAGUGACAUUAAUUUCAGAUGCCGUCUGCUUGCAACAUUUAUCGAAUGGUGAUGGUGGAGAGGCCUUGCAGAUGACGUUGUUUGGAAAGCAGAAUAUGACAUCGUGGUUGUAACAGCUAAGUGAACUGGUACUCGGCGUUUCUUUGGUUGAUUGCGCGUGACACUUGGGUGGAUUGUUCACAUUCACAUAGGACCUGGCUUGCUCGAGAAAGCUAGGUCCUAUGCAUGCUUUGAAAGAAUGAAGAACAUACAACGAUAAAUGUGCUGCUCCAAACAGUAAUUUUCGUCAGUGAUUGCUCCAAACGUGCUCCGAAAUGACGCUGAAAGAAUGAGAAUGACGGAUUUUUACUUUGACUGACUCAUAAGUGCUAACGAAACCGAAAAGAGUCUGUGUAUUAUCAUCCCAUUGUGCUACUAGUAUGCAGCAUUAUCGGCUCGGAUCUCAUUUGUGCGGCAAGAACAGGCAUAUGAAACAUAGCUCAUUUGGCUGUUUUUUUUUCUCCUGAGCUAGACAUGCAGACUAGUGUGGUGGAAUGUAAAAAUGAGUAGGAUUGCUUUUAUAGCGAUUAUCUGCUGCUUAUUUGGAAACAGUUAUAUGGGACUGUGGUUACUUCUAAAAUGUGGCACUCAGAUUUUCCUGUUUUUAUAUAAUUUUUGCCACAAAUACUAUUAUAUUAAAUUGUAGCUUAUUUCACUGCACAUUUUUGACAACAGGCCUUUGCUUGGUUCAUGAAAUUUAUUGAUUGUUGUCUCUUAAAUAUAUUUGUAUUUACGAGGUGCUUUGACUUUGCUUAAAGCUCCAAUUAUGUGUGGCAAAUUUAAUGUCUGCUUCUAAAACAUCAGAAGUUGCUCUGAACUAGCAUUUUUUUUUCUGCUCCUAAAACGCUUAGGGCUGCUCUAAAGCAGCAUUUUUCGAGCUCCAAAGUAUGGUCCUACAAGUAAGAAAAGUCUCUUCUAUCGCUGUCGCUAUUCCGGAUUCAUUAUAGCGCUUGCUGCAGUGUUAUUUUACUUGUGUAGUACCACAACAGCUUGUGAAUGAAGCGCGGAAGAACUCGCCACACAGAAUAAAAUCUUUAAAGUGGUGGACAAGGGGAAAGAAAUGGACUUUGUUCAAUUUGUGUGCCUGAUGCUAACCUUGUGUAUUUUCUCUUUUUUACAGUGUGUCGGCUUGAAGAAAUCCAUCAUCUUCAGAACUUGUCACAUAUGGCGCAUUCCUUUUUGCUUUUUUUGUCAUUGCAAGGCUGGAGUGCCUUGUGGAGCUUUCUGAGUUUGAGAUGAUAUGUGACUGUGCUUGUUAUGCUUUCCUGGUCGAGUUGGCCUUGUCGAAAAAUUUACUUUUGUAGGCAGUUCUUGCAGAUAUUCGGUUUUGUUCCAUCAGUGUUUGUAUGAAUUGUUAUUACAGCAGUUUUGUUGCCAUGAAGUAUUGCUGCUUGUUUUGAAUAGCACUCUUUUAUAACUUCACUUGGUUGUGGUGUAGUGAUGCUGAGGUGUCAAGCUAAUGGGAACAUAGUAGUCACUAUUGGGCUAAUUGGUGUAUGUCUAGAAUCGGUAGUUGACUUCAUGCCAACAGCAUAACCAUAGUGGAAGACGAAGCAAUGCAUAAACAGGACAAGAGCUCAUAACUGUUCACUUUUUGAGGAAGGCAAAUAAAUCCACUGUUCGGCAACGCAUGAGCCUUUGUCACAUGCACAUAAUAACGUGCCCCAAGGCUUGAACGAGUUGUUCGUGCAGUAAACAGUUGUACGCAAGCGGUCGUCCUGUCUGUGUGUUUCCUCGUUUUUCAGUGUGGUCUUGGCACGAAGUACUGUUAAUCGGAAAAUGUUAAAAGGACAGCUACAUAAGUUGUAUAACAUCAAAAUGAGAUCCAUAAGACUGACAUAUCAAUAAUGUUUGCAUAUUUGUCAGAUUUACUUGUUCUAACACAUCAAUAUUCCUGCAUAUUUAUUUCCUUUAGUUAUUGUUUGAGGUUAAUGUUCAGUGCUUGUGCUUUUGAUACCAAAUGUAAUGUCUUUCCUUUGCACGUAAACUUAUUGGUUUCUCAUUCACCAUGAAGGAAAAUUGGUAUCAAGCGUAAUAUGACACAAUUACUGUACAAAGAUGGCAAGGACAAGGGAACAGCUAGCAUGGUCUUGUGCUUCUUCUUCAAAUCCUUGUCCUCUUUGUGCUACUAAGGAUAAGCAUGUCUUGAGCAAUGUACUGCCGCGGUCGAAAUGAGCUCUCACAUACGCCGUGCCUGCUGUUGAGGUGGGGCCAGCGCAUAGAAAAAUUGAAGCUAAUAUUGUUUUUAUUACUCAAAUAUUGUUAAUCAAUUUAGUAUUUUUUAUUUGUCAUUGCAUUGUUGCACUUAUUUUGCUUCUCUAAAAUUUUGACGAGGACCGCUUAGCAAUCAUUACUAGUCAGUUGCCACCUCUAUAAACAUGAAUUCAAUUCAUUUUUGAUGUGUAAAUUACAAUGUCACUAACAUUUCUUUCUUAAAAAAUACACUAAGUUAUAUCUCUACACUUACGAACAUGUUUGUUGAAUAUAUCAUGGUGUGGUUGACAUAUCUUUAUUCACAAGUUGUGGGUGUCAUAUCAAGUGUUUUAUCAUUUCUGCAUUUAUCUACGCGUCAGCCCCUUUAUUACUUCUACAAUGUAAAAACAGUUGCAUCGUAAGGUAGUCUUGGUGUCCGACAACAAUAAUAAUUUGGCAUGCCUGCAUCUUCUUUUGUCAGAAAUGUGCUCACCAGUUUUCUUUCAAGAAUACUACGUUGCUCUUGUAGUGUGCACGCUGUUCAUGGUCUGGACCUACUGGACACAGCUUUACAGCAAGUUGAAGACGUGCAGGAUGGAUGAAUAUUAUUGUUCUUUGAUGUGAUGAAAACGUGUUUAAAAAAAAUGCAACUCUUUAUAAAGUGCACCUCUUUCUCUAUAAUUAUGUCUCCUAUACAGUAGUUAUAUCAGAGUUUCUUUGAAGUCAGUUAUUCUCUAAACUCUGGAAUAUCCUGUUGCAGUUACUUUCUAGAGGUAACACUGCCAUGUCGUUUAACGUAAGCUUGAGUGUUUCAGUAGGUGCUCCCAGUUUCAAGUCAUAAAUUGUUUUGGGCUAAUCUGUUCAUUUUCAGGCUUCUUAAAAAGUAAAAGCACAAAAAGUGGAUGCCACAGGCGUUGACUAACACCUUAUUAGGCAGCGCGGGUUCCUUCGUGCAUGUGUCUUUUCACUGCCGCUUUCUAACAGGUCCCAGCUUGGUUUUUACUGUAGGAGUAUAUUGUCAUGUGAUACAAAUUGAUCGAGUGAUUGAUUUAAGAAAUUGAUGGAUCUUCUCUGCAUUAGGCCUAACAAUUUUCAAGCUGGAGCCGUCCGACAAGGUUCCCGGGUCCUGGGUUCCUGCUGCGAGCUCGUACGAGGGAGCUGACGGGUUCGAGACCCUGCGAGACCUGGUGGCUCAAGCACAAGCGGCAGCCGAUGCCCCCAUGUUCUCAAACCAGGCCGCCGUCUGUCCAGUAGGGCAAGUGAGACCUGGGUUGCCAACGUAACUACUUGAGGACGAGCCUAACAACGCCUUGCAGCAUUCUUGAUUGGCCGUAUUUCAAGCGGAUCCAAUCACUUCUGGGUUCUACCCUGUGAUUGAGCAAGCUGCUGCCUAAGAAACAACUGCGGCCUUUCAACUGCCGCCGAGAUGACAAAUGGUUAGAGGGGCACAAGUUGCCGCAGUUCUCUGAUGAUAUACAGCCUCUGCUACAAGGUGCUGAGCUGACCAGGGAGGAACACUACAGGCUGUCGAAGCAGUUCCGUCGCGAGAUUAUCGACUUUCUGAAUAGAUGCAACUUGAUAUCAGACCCGAGCAGUGGCGGCCGCCGCUGGAAGUACCACUACCUGGGACUAACACUCGCAUCUGAAUUCCCAAAGCUCCAGUGGGACUUCAGAGGACACAAAGCAUCUUACGGUGACCACACAAAAGCCAAGUCAAAGUUUCUCUCGAAGUUGGCCGAGGCUCGUCGUCACCAGCUUGCAAGGGCCAAGAUAAGGAUGUGCCGGGGAACCUUGAGCCCUCCUUCUGAAACCACUGGCUCAGCCUGCCUUUCAACAGCAUGGAAGGGGCUCUUGGAAAGAAAGCUUUCUGUCCAUCUUGCGCGGUUUCCUGCAAAGGACUUGCCUUAAACUUGGAAAAGAGAAAACGGUUCAACAAGCACACACCACGUAAAGAGGAAGCAAUAUUGCUCGCCUUAGCAUUGUUGAAUAGGUGAUAUGAUGAACAAGAAUUGCACAAUAUUACCAUCAACCUAAAAUUUUUUUAUGUGACUUUUGAAACUAUAAACGAGAUGUUAUUUCAUAUUU